GACGUAGGGCGCGAGCGUUGUCCGGAAUUAUUGGGCGUAAAGAGCUCGCAGGCGGUCUGUCGCGUCUGCUGUGAAAUCCCGAGGCUCAACCUCGGGCUUGCAGUGGGUACGGGCAGGCUAGAGUGCGGUAGGGGAGAAUGGAACUCCUGGUGUAGCGGUGGAAUGCGCAGAUAUCAGGAAGAACACCGAUGGCGAAGGCAGUUCUCUGGGCCGUAACUGACGCUGAGGAGCGAAAGCGUGGGGAGCGAACAGG
rnacentral:rRNA from 1 species